AUAGAUUUCGCCCGCGCUGCGCCGCCUGGUUGCUCCUCCCGAGCGGUGAGUCCCGAAGGCCCGGAGCCGAGUAGGUCUGGGCAAGCGGGGCCUCAGCUAGGGAUACCACCGGACUUGGAUCGGAGCAGCCUUCAGGGGACGUGGCGCAGUCGAACAGAGCCACCAUGGGGACGACAGCCCCAGGGCCCAUUCACCUGCUGGAGCUAUGUGACCAGAAGCUCAUGGAGUUUCUCUGCAACAUGGAUAAUAAGGACUUGGUGUGGCUGCAGGAGAUCCAAGAGGAGGCCGAGCGCAUGUUCACCAGAGAAUUCAGCAAAGAGCCAGAGCUGAUGCCCAAAACACCUUCUCAGAAGAACCGACGGAAGAAAAGACGGAUUUCUUAUGUUCAGGAUGAAAACAGAGAUCCCAUCAGGAGAAGGUUAUCCCGCAGAAAGUCUCGGAGCAGCCAGCUGAGCUCCCGACGCCUCCGCAGCAAGGACAGUGUAGAGAAGCUGGCUACAAUGGUGGGGGAGAACGGCUCCGUCCUGCGGCGUGUGACCCGUGCUGCGGCUGCGGCUGCCGCGGCCACCAUGGCAUUGGCUGCACCUUCUUCACCCACCCCUGAGUCUCCCACGAUGCUGACCAAGAAGCCCGAGGAUAACCGCACUCAGUGCCAGCUGGUGCCUAAGGUGGAGAUUGGCAUCGGUGAGCGCCAGAACGCUGAGCAGCAUGUCACCCAGCUCAUGUCUGCCCAGCCUCUGCCCCGCACUCUGUCUCCGACUCCGGCUUCAGCCACAGCUUCAGCCUCCCAGGGCAUCCUGACAUCGGAUGAGGAAUCAACACCUAAGAAGUCAAAGGCCAGGGUACUGGAGUCUGUCACAGUGAGCUCCCUGAUGGCUACACCCCAGGACCCCAAGGGACGAGGGGUCGGGACGGGGCGGUCUGCGUCUAAGCUCAGGAUUGCACAGGUCUCCCCUGGCCCAAGGGACUUGCCAGCCUCUCCAGACUCUCCAUGGCGGGAGCGGGUGCUGGCUCCCAUCCUGCCGGAUAACUUCUCCACGCCCACGGGCUCUCACACGGACUCUCGAUCUGUGCGGCGCAGCCCGAUUGCCCCGUCUUCCCCGAGUCCCCAAGUCUUAGCCCAGAAGUACUCUCUGGUGGCCAAACAGGAAAGUGUUGUCCGCAGAGUGAGCAGAAGGCUUGCCAAGAAGACUGCCGAAGAGCCAGCUGCCUCUGGCCGCAUCAUCUGUCACAGUUACCUGGAGAGGCUCCUGAAUGUUGAGGUGCCCCAGAAAGUUGGGUGAGUUCAGUUCCAGGGCUUCGCAGGUGGGCAGGGCACACCAGGACAGGGAGCUAAGGUGAGCACCAGGGCUGGAAGCAAUUCCUGGGCUGA
rnacentral:sRNA from 1 species